rnacentral:rRNA from 1 species
AGAGACAGCAGCCGCCGCGGGAAUACGUAGGGUGCGAGCGUUAAUCGGAAUUACUGGGCGUAAAGCGUGCGCAGGCGGUUCGUUAAGACAGAUGUGAAAUCCCCGGGCUUAACCUGGGAACUGCGCUUGUGACUGCACAGCUAGAGUAUGGCAGAGGGGGGUGGAAUUCCACGUGUAGCAGUGAAAUGCGUAGAGAUGUGGAGGAACACCGAUGGCGAAGGCAGCCCCCUGGGCCAAUACUGACGCUCAUGCACGAAAGCGUGGGGAGCAAACAGGAUUAGAUACCCCAGUAGUCCCUGUCUCUUAUAC